rnacentral:snoRNA from 1 species
CCCCUCUCAGCACCUGGAGAGUUUCCAGUACUCUACCAGUCUCAGCUAUGUGGGAGGGAGAGUCAAGCAGAGGCCUACCCAUUCCAUUCCUAGCUUGGGCAGUGGCUAGCGAGUGGAAGGUAAUCUGCUACAAGU